rnacentral:rRNA from 1 species
CAGUAGCCGCGGGAAUACGAAGGGGGCUAGCGUUGCUCGGAAUUACUGGGCGUAAAGGGAGCGUAGGCGGACAUUUAAGUCAGGGGUGAAAUCCCAGAGCUCAACUCUGGAACUGCCUUUGAUACUGGGUGUCUUGAGUGUGAUAGAGGUAUGUGGAACUCCGAGUGUAGAGGUGAAAUUCGUAGAUAUUCGGAAGAACACCAGUGGCGAAGGCGACAUACUGGAUCAUUACUGACGCUGAGGCUCGAAAGCGUGGGGAGCAAACAGGAUUAGAUACCCCCGUAGUCCCUGUCUCUUAUAC